AUCAAUGGCGGCGCCGGGCGGGGGACCCUUUUGGGUCACCGGUUGCGGUAGGUCCGGCACGCCAACCCCGUUCGGUCGCCGUCACCCCG
rnacentral:antisense_RNA from 1 species